GUGAACGUGUCAUGUGUUGGAAAGGUGGCACGACCGAAGUCCAUGGGGACAGAAGCUCCCGUGCUCACGCCCUCUGGAGCUUGCCCUACAUGCAAGAUCUUCAUCUGGCUGUUCAUGUGUUUAUUCUAUCAAGUCCUUUGUCAUAAACUGGUAAAUGUGAGUAAGUCUUUCCCUGAGUUCUGUGAGCUAUCAUAUUGUUGAACCUGAGGAGGGGGUUGUGAGAACCCCAGAUUUGUUGCCAAGUUGGAUGGAACUAGGCUCUCCAGGCAUCAGCUUCACAGAGAGAAUCUUGAUGCCCAACAAGGACAGCAUUUUCAGAGAUGUACCCUUACAAGGGGUCCCCAUACAAGAUUGAAAUGAUAAAGAACUGAAGAUCCAAAGCCAGAGAAUGAUAAAGUAACUUCAACCUGACACAGUAAAACAUUGCAGGGAGAGUCCGGGAUCUGGAAUGAGAAUGCCACGUCCAGGCUGUGUUACCUUACAAAAAUUAUUAAUGCUUCAGUGGCCUCAUCUGCAGAAUGGAAAUACCAAUAAUAGUAGCUAUCUGAUAAGGUUAUUGUGGGGAUAGUAGGAGACAAUCCAUAAUAAUGUUUGAGUAGUAGCUGGCACAUUGUAGAUACUCAACAUACGCCAGCUAUUAUUGUUAUAGAAAAUAUGCAGAUCUGGAAUAGCUUGGAAAAUGUUUAUGAUACAAUAACAAAUUCAAAAGAAGUCUACUAAAUACUGUGUAUUUUAUGAUUGCAAUUUUGUAAAAACUAUAUCUGCUUAUGGAAAAAGAUUUGAAGAAAAUAUGCUUAUGUGAAAAGAAUUUCUUACAGUGAUGGGAUUACGUGUAGCUUUAUUUAUUUAUUUGAGACCAGGUCUCACUCUGUUGCCCAGGCUGCAAUACAGUGGUGUGACACCAGCUCCCUGAAACUCCUGGGCUCAAGUGAUCCUCCUGCCUCAGCCUCUUGAAUAACUGGGACUACAGGCAUGUGCCACCAUGCCCGGCUAAUAUUUAAUUUUUUUGUGGAGACAGAGUCUCCCUAUGCUGCCAUGCUGGUCUUGAACUCCUGGGCUCAAGCGAUCCUCCAG
rnacentral:lncRNA from 10 species